rnacentral:tRNA from 2 species
CGCGGGGUGGAGCAGCCCGGUAGCUCGCCAGGCUCAUAACCUGGAGGUCGCAGGUUCAAAUCCUGUCCCCGCAACCA